rnacentral:rRNA from 1 species
AGCUAAUAGAUACCCGGGUAGUCCUAGCAGUAAACGGUGCAUGCUUGGUAUGGGGACAUAGACAUUCUCCGUGCCGUAGUUAACACGUUAAGCAUGCCGCCUGGGAAGUACGGUCGCAAGACUAAAACUCAAAGAAAUUGACGGGGGACCCGCACAAGCGGUGGAGUAUGUGGCUUAAUUCGAUGCAACGCGAUGAACCUUACCUGGACUUGACAUGCAUCUAUAAACGGCGGAAACGUCGUGAUUGUAGCAAUACAAAAUUUGCACAGGUGCUGCAUGGCUGUCGUCAGCUCGUGUCGUGAGAUGCUGGGUUAAGUCCCGCAACGAGCGCAACCCCUGUAGUUUG